rnacentral:tRNA from 1 species
CGGGUAGCUCAGUUGGUAGAGCAGGGGACUGAAAAUCCCUGUGCCGAGGGUUCAAGUCCCCCCCCG